rnacentral:tRNA from 1 species
GGGCCGUUAGCUCAGUCAGGUAGAGCACCGGAUUUUUAAUCCGGGAGUCGUAGGUUCAAUUCCUACACGGCCCA